UACGGAGGGGGUUAGCGUUGUUCGGAAUUACUGGGCGUAAAGCGCGCGUAGGCGGACUAUUAAGUCAGGGGUGAAAUCCCGGGGCUCAACCCCGGAACUGCCUUUGAUACUGGUAGUCUUGAGUUCGAGAGAGGUGAGUGGAACUCCGAGUGUAGAGGUGAAAUUCGUAGAUAUUCGGAAGAACACCAGUGGCGAAGGCGGCUCACUGGCUCGAUACUGACGCUGAGGACGAAAGUCGGUGGGAGAAACAGGAUUAGAUACCCCGGGUAGUCC
rnacentral:rRNA from 1 species